rnacentral:rRNA from 14 species
CUGGCCGUACUCAUGACCGCAUCAGGUCUCCAAGGUGAGUAGCCUCGAGUCAGUAGACAAAGGUGAGUAAGGGAAGUCGGCAAAUUAGAUCCGUAACUUCGGGAUAAGGAUUGGCUCUAAGGGUUGGGCAUGUAGCGUCUGUUGAAGUGGCUUUUCUAGUUCAAAAAUCUACGGUGUAGGUUUAUGGCAAUGAACAGACUACUGAAAUAGCGGUAUAUAUAUUUUUAAUAUUUUAUACAUGGUUCUCAUGCAAUAUAUCAACCGACUUAGAACUGGUACGGACAAGGGGAAUCCGACUGU